GCCAGUCACAUAUGAAGAAAACAAGGACAGAAACUGAAGCAAGCACCACUUCAGGUUCACAAGUUGAGACAGCAGUCCAUAUGUCAUCCAUCAGCUCCCAAUCUAGUUACAGAAAAAUUGGAUAAAAAAUUGCCGACCUGGAGAAGAAGACGCACAAACAGAAGAAAAGAGUUAAAGAUUUAGAGCAAAGAGCAAAUACUUCUUCCUGUGUGGAAUCCACUCCAGUAGACACAACUGAAGACCCAGAUAAGCAGUUGAAAGCCUAACUUGCCUUAGUAGCCAAUUUGUCGGGCAACACGUAAAGGGACACUUAUAUUAUUAUAAGGAGAUUAUCAUUACAAGUAUUUUCAAAAG